GACGAACGCUGGCGGCGUGCUUAACACAUGCAAGUCGAACGGAAGGCCCUGCUUUUGUGGGGUGCUCGAGUGGCGAACGGGUGAGUAACACGUGAGUAACCUGCCCUUGACUUUGGGAUAACUUCAGGAAACUGGGGCUAAUACCGGAUAGGAGCUCCUGCUGCAUGGUGGGGGUUGGAAAGUUUCGGCGGUUGGGGAUGGACUCGCGGCUUAUCAGCUUGUUGGUGGGGUAGUGGCUUACCAAGGCUUUGACGGGUAGCCGGCCUGAGAGGGUGACCGGCCACAUUGGGACUGAGAUACGGCCCAGACUCCUACGGGAGGCAGCAGUGGGGAAUAUUGCACAAUGGGCGGAAGCCUGAUGCAGCAACGCCGCGUGCGGGAUGACGGCCUUCGGGUUGUAAACCGCUUUCGCCUGUGACGAAGCGUGAGUGACGGUAAUGGGGAAAGAAGCACCGGCUAACUACGU
rnacentral:rRNA from 1 species